GGACUACACGGGUAUCUAAUCCUGUUCGCUCCCCUAGCUUUCGCGCCUCAGCGUCAGUGCAUCGCCAGGACACUGCCUUCGCCUUUGGUGUUCUUCCGGAUCUCUACGCAUUUCACCACUCCACCCGGAAUUCCGUGUCCCUCUCGCUGCCUCAAGUCUAGCCGGUUUGCAGGCACUCUCCCGGUUAAGCCAGGAGCUGUCACCCCCAACGCGCUAGACCGCCUACGCGCCCUUUACGCCCAGUAACUCCGGACAACGCUCGCCCCCUACGUAUUACCGCGGCUGCUGGCAC
rnacentral:rRNA from 1 species